rnacentral:rRNA from 1 species
AUUGAACGCUGGCGGCAGGCCUAACACAUGCAAGUCGAGCGGCAGCGGGAAAGUAGCUUGCUACUUUUGCCGGCGAGCGGCGGACGGGUGGGUAAUGCCUGGGAAAUUGCCCAGUCGAGGGGGAUAACAGUUGGAAACGACUGCUAAUACCGCAUACGCCCUACGGGGGAAAGCAGGGGACCUUCGGGCCUUGCGCGAUUGGAUAUGCCCAGGUGGGAUUAGCUAGUUGGUGAGGUAAUGGCUCACCAAGGCGACGAUCCCUAGCUGGUCUGAGAGGAUGAUCAGCCACACUGGAACUGAGACACGGUCCAGACUCCUACGGGAGGCAGCAGUGGGGAAUAUUGCACAAUGGGGGAAACCCUGAUGCAGCCAUGCCGCGUGUGUGAAGAAGGCCUUCGGGUUGUAAAGCACUUUCAGCGAGGAGGAAAGGUUGGUGCCUAAUACGUAUCAACUGUGACGUUACUCGCAGAAGAAGCACCGGCUAACUCCGUGCCAGCAGCCGCCGUAA